rnacentral:rRNA from 1 species
UGGGGAAUAUUGCACAAUGGGCGAAAGCCUGAUGCAGCGACGCCGCGUGAGGGAUGAAGGCCUUCGGGUUGUAAACCUCUUUCAGCAGGGAAGAAGCGCAAGUGACGGUACCUGGAUAAGAAGCACCGGCUAACUACGUGCCAGCAGCCGCGGUAAUACGUAGGGUGCGAGCGUUGUCCGGAUUUAUUGGGCGUAAAGAGCUCGUAGGCGGUUUGUCGCGUCGGCCGUGAAAUCUCCACGCUUAACGUGGAGCGUGCGGUCGAUACGGGCAGACUUGAGUUCGGUAGGGGAGACUGGAAUUCCUGGUGUAGCGGUGAAAUGCGCAGAUAUCAGGAGGAACACCGGUGGCGAAGGCGGGUCUCUGGGCCGAUACUGACGCUGAGGAGCGAAAGCGUGGGGAGCGAACA